GGGCCGCGGUACUUUGACCGUGCGAAGGUAGCAUAAUCAAUAGUCUUUUAAUUGAAGGCUUGAAUGAACGGCUGGACGAGAAAUGUUCUGUUUCUUAACUAAAAUNUUGAAUUUUACUUUUAAGUGAAAAGGCUUAAAUUUUAUAAGAAGACGAUAAGACCCUAUAAAUCUUAACACUAACGCUNAAACUAGAUACUUUGUUUGUAAAAUUCUAGGGUAUGUGGGGUGUUUUGUUGGGGCGACAGGAAUAGAUUANUAUCUGUUCUUAUAAAUUACAAUAAUUUUUGAGUUUCGAAAAAUGAUCCUUUUUAGAGAUUGAAAGGUUAAGUUACUUUAGGGAUAACAGCGUUAUUUUACUUAAGAGUUCUUAUCAAAAGUAAAGUUUGCGACCUCGAUGUUGAAUUAAAUAUUCCUUGUGGUGCAGCAGCUACAAGUGGAAAGUCUGUUCGACUUUUAAAUUUUUACAUGAUUUGAG
rnacentral:rRNA from 1 species